ACACGACUCUCGGCAACGGAUAUCUCGGCUCUCGNAUCGAUGAANAACGUAGCGAAAUGCGAUACCUGGUGUGAAUUGCAGAAUCCCGCGAACCAUCGAGUCUUUGAACGCAAGUUGCGCCCGAGGCCAUUCGGCCNAGGGCACGCCUGCCUGGGCGUCACGC
rnacentral:rRNA from 1 species